rnacentral:rRNA from 1 species
AUUGAACGCUGGCGGCAUGCCUUACACAUGCAAGUCGAACGGUAACAGGUUAAGCUGACGAGUGGCGAACGGGUGAGUAAUGUAUCGGAACGUGCCCAGUCGUGGGGGAUAACUGCUCGAAAGAGCAGCUAAUACCGCAUACGACCUGAGGGUGAAAGCGGGGGAUCGCAAGACCUCGCGCGAUUGGAGCGGCCGAUAUCAGAUUAGGUAGUUGGUGAGGUAAAGGCUCACCAAGCCGACGAUCUGUAGCUGGUCUGAGAGGACGACCAGCCACACUCGGACUGAGACACGGCCCAGACUCCUACGGGAGGCAGCAGUGGGGAAUUUUGGACAAUGGGCGAAAGCCUGAUCCAGCCAUGCCGCGUGCGGGAAGAAGGCCUUCGGGUUGUAAACCGCUUUUGUCAGGGAAGAAAAGGUUCUGGCUAAUACCUGGGACUCAUGACGGUACCUGAAGAAUAAGCACCGGCUAACUACGUG